rnacentral:rRNA from 1 species
UUUGCCUGGCGGCAAUAGCGAGCGGGAACCACCCGAUCCCAUUCCGAACUCGGAAGUGAAACCGCUCAGCGCCGAUGAUAGUGUGGGGCUUCUCCAUGCGAAAGUAGGUCACUGCCAGGCUC